GAAUCGCAUGGCCUUGUGCUGGCGAUAGGUCAUUCAAAUUUCUGCCCUAUCAGCUUUCGAUUGUAGUGUAGUGGACUACAAUGGCUUUAACGGGUAACGGGGAAUUAGGGUUCGAUUCCGGAGAGGGAGCCUGAGAAACGGCUACCACUUCUAAGGAAGGCAGCAGGCGCGUAAAUUACCCAAUCCUGACACAGGGGGGUAGUGACAAUAAAUAACAAUACCGGUCCUUUUUCUGGUCUGGUAAUUGGAAUGAGCACAA
rnacentral:rRNA from 1 species